CUGAAAUAACAGGGGAGCUCCGUGUUGCCGGGGCUGAGAUGAGAAGCGCAAGCCUCCGGACCCUUCAAAGCUGAUCUGGGUAAUGCCAGCGGAGCGAGGUUCAGAUGUUUUCCG
rfam:Rhizobium etli CNPAF512 RHECNPAF_contig75, whole genome shotgun sequence.